rnacentral:rRNA from 1 species
CUGUAAGCCUGUGAAGGUGGCCUGUGAGGGUUGCUGGAGGUAUCAGAAGUGCGAAUGCUGACAUAAGUAACGAUAAAGCGGGUGAAAAGCCCGCUCGCCGGAAGACCAAGGGUUCCUGUCCAACGUUAAUCGGGGCAGGGUGAGUCGACCCCUAAGGCGAGGCCGAAAGGCGUAGUCGAUGGGAAACAGGUUAAUAUUCCUGUACUUGGUGUUACUGCGAAGGGGGGACGGAGAAGGCUAUGUUGGCCGGGCGACGGUUGUCCCGGUUUAAGCGUGUAGGCUGGUUUUCCAGGCAAAUCCGGAAAAUCAAGGCUGAGGCGUGAUGACGAGGCACUACGGUGCUGAAGCGACAAAUGCCCUGCUUCCAGGAAAAGCCUCUAAGCAUCAGGUAACAU